GACGAACGCUGGCGGCGUGCUUAACACAUGCAAGUCGAACGGAAAGGCCCUGCUUUUGUGGGGUGCUCGAGUGGCGAACGGGUGAGUAACACGUGAGUAACCUGCCCUUGACUUUGGGAUAACUUCAGGAAACUGGGGCUAAUACCGGAUAGGAGCCCCUGCUGCAUGGUGGGGGUUGGAAAGUUUCGGCGGUUGGGGAUGGACUCGCGGCUUAUCAGCUUGUUGGUGGGGUAGUGGCUUACCAAGGCUUUGACGGGUAGCCGGCCUGAGAGGGUGACCGGCCACAUUGGGACUGAGAUACGGCCCAGACUCCUACGGGAGGCAGCAGUGGAGAAUAUUGCACAAUGGGCGGAAGCCUGAUGCAGCAACGCCGCGUGCGGGAUGACGGCCUUCGGGUUGUAAACCGCUUUCGCCUGUGACGAAGCGUGAGUGACGGUAAUGGGUAAAGAAGCACCGGCUAACUACGUG
rnacentral:rRNA from 1 species